ensembl:lncRNA
GGGACUCAGCCACCCACAGGAGCCUCCACUGCUUGACCGUCUGCUCUCACUUCCCAACCUGGCUUGGUCGACUUCCCCAGCCCUCUUCCCAGAAGAAAGGAGGGAUGUGGGGGAUGAGGUACCCAAAGUUUGUCUUGAGGAGCAGAGGAUGAUGAAUCACCACUAAAGCCCAUCAGCUAGGCCAGGGCCAUGGAAGAUGUGAGCGAGUGGUCUGAUGAAGCUGCAGGGCCUCUGCUGAAGAUUCCAAGAAUUUCCAUCAGGCCAAGGACAAGGGAAGCCGACCAAGUGGCUCAGGUGCUGCAGUUGCUGGCAGAGAAGCAGUGGUCACCCACCUGCACCAUCAUCCCACCCCCACCCCCACUGCACAACGUCUGCAGAGAAACCCCAAGGAGAUUCAUCAGCCUGCAUCUCUGAUUUGUAAUUGCACUUAAGGCUAUGAAGGCGGCAGUUUGGGCCAUUUGCUGGAGAGGGCUGGCAAGGUCCCAGAAUCCUUGUGUAAUGAAUCUGUUAUGUUAAUCCCAUUAGUCUUCUACUAUCUGCCACUUCUGACUAGGUCCCUCCCUCAUCCCUCCCCCAAUCAAAUCUCCCUUCCCCUCGUGACAAGUUCCCAUAAGCCAGGACUGAGUGGGCCUUGCUCACCAGACUAGUUUUAUCAGAAAUUGACAGAGGCCAUGUUGGGUGACUGGGGCAAUGCCCUCAGGUGAAACACAGAGGCUUGGUUUGCAGAGGUCCAAGAGGUCAUGGAACUUUCCCCUUUUGUUCUUGAGAGCAGUGGUUAACAAUCAUUAGGGGGCACACACACAAAUCAUCUUAGGAUCUGUAUUUUUAAUAACAUAUUUAACAUUCCUAUGGCAGGUGGUCCAUUGAACAGUAUCUUGAGAGAUCCUGUUUGAUAGCAUCUUUUUUUUUUUUUUUGUCUUUUUGCUAUUUCUAGGGCCGCUCCCUCGGCAUAUGGAGGUUCCCAGGCUAGGGGUCUAAUCGGAGCUGUAGCCACCGGCCUACACUCCGAGCCAUGUCUUCGACCUAUACCACAGCUCACGGCAACGCUGGAUCAUUAACCCACUGAGCAAGGGCAGGGACCGAACCCGCAACCUCAUGGUUCCUAGUCGGAUUCGUUAACCACUGCGCCACGACGGGAACUCCAGAUAGCAUCUUUUGUGUGUGUGUGUGUGUGUGUGUGUGUGUGUGUGUGUGAUUUUCUUUCUCCUUUCUUUUUUUUUAAAGUAUAGUUGAUUUAUAAUGUUGUAAAUCAUUGUAAUUUCCAAUUUUUGUUGUACAGUGUAGUGACCCAGUCUCAUAUAUAUAUAUAUUUUCUUUUUCUCAUACUGUCUUCCAUGACAGCAUCUCUGAUGGAUGGUUUCUGCUCUCUGAUGGAUUCUUUACUCUCUGAAUCUAUGAGAAAUAAGUCACAUCCUUAUCUCAUAUGACCAUUUUUCUUAUAUUUGGAUCUAGGCCCCAUGGGCCUGUGUCACAGGAGAAAAGGGUACUGGUUUUAGACUCACACAAAUGUGAGCUUACAUUCCAGUUAGGCAGGUAACUGCUGUGCGAUUGGGGGCACUCAACAUCCUGUGGAUGGUUGUGAAACAGGAGGGAAGGGGGCAGGGCACACCCCGUAAAAGAAGGACAUAGUCCUUCAGGAUAUGACAAAAACUAGUUAGAACCAACAAGGUCCAAGAUGGUGAAUGAUUUGACUUCCAAUGGACUUUGACCUUCAUUAUGUGUUCACUGUAGCACAUUAGCAUGCUGAAUGACAUGUCCAUAGGUGCCAGGACAGCUCCAAGGCUGACCACAAAAGGCCAAAAAGUGGGCGGUGGUCCAAUUCCUAGAAACCGCCCACCCCUUCCCAGAAAUAAUUAGAAUAAUCCUCUCACUCAUUAGCCUGUGAAAUUGCCCAGCUCAUAAAAACUCACCACCCCAUAUUUCAGGGCCUCUUAGCUCUUGCCUUCUGAGGUGGCCCACACUCUGUCUGUGGAGUGUGUUUCUCCCAGGGCCCUCUCUCCCCUUUUGAGACAGCCCAUGCUUUGUCUAUUUCUCAAUAAAUCUAC